rnacentral:rRNA from 1 species
AACGAACGCUGGCGGCGUGCUUAACACAUGCAAGUCGAACGCGAAAUUUUUCUUCGGAAAGAAAGUAGAGUGGCGCACGGGUGAGUAACGCGUAAGUAAUCUACCCUGGCAUCUGGAAUAACUCACCGAACGGUGUGCUAAUACCGGAUACGUUGAGAGAUCAAGAAAGGUGGCCUCUGCAUAUGCUACUGUGCUGGGAUGAGCUUGCGUACCAUUAGCUAGUUGGUAGGGUAAUGGCCUACCAAGGCGACGAUGGUUAGCGGGGCUGAGAGGAUGAUCCGCCACACUGGAACUGGAACACGGACCGGACUCCUACGGGAGGCAGCAGUGAGGAAUAUUGCUCAAUGGGGGCAACCCUGACGCAGCGACGCCGCGUGGAUGAUGAAAGCCUUCGGGUCGUAAAAUCCUGUCAAGUGGAAAGAAGUGCAUGGUGGCUAAUAUCCAUCAUGUUUGACGGUACCACUGAAGGAAGCACCGGCGAACUCCGUGCCAGCCGCCGCAGUAAGAC